ACCCCAACCAGGGCCUCAUGGCAAGGCUUGAGCCACUCCAAGGCAUUUCUGAGGAACUGGGAGAACUUGGGGCUCUUCAGGAUUCCUUCAUCGGAAACGACCAGCAUCCGGCCCUUCCCAUACUGGGAAACAGCAAUCAGCACCUGCUUCUUAGCGCUCAGGAGCACAGGGUAGGCGUCCUCUCCAACAAGGAGCAGCUCACAGGCAACAAAACCUCCAGUGAAGUCCCAUGGCCCCACACCAUCCACUAACAGCUCGUAGGUGGCACAGGGCUUCAUCUCCAAGACACUGCUGUCUGGUGGACAGAAGAACAACAUCCAUUACAGUAAAGUUCAGCAAUAAGGAACAGCUGUACCAACCCCCCAGAGCAUUUUUUGUUGUUGUUGUCUAGCAGGAACUCCAAACAAAGAGUCAGGCACUAUAAACCCAUGCUUAGUAUUAGGAGGUGCCGUGAGGAGGAGGAGAAUCAGCAGAAAUGAUGGAGAUGACCAGAUUCCCUGCAAUAACUGUCAGUUUAAAGCACACAGUACCCAGGAGAGCAUGUCUGGGCACAGGAGAUUCACGCCCUGGUUCCCUCAUCCAAAGUCUUUUACAAUCUAAAUAAAAUUAUUUCCCUUUCCCAUA